GACGAACCGAGCGAACGUUGUUCGGAAUCACUGGGCUUAAAGGGCGCGUAGGCGGGUGCUCAAGUCCGUGGUGAAAUCCUCCGGCUCAACCGGAGAACUGCCUCGGAUACUGCGUGUCUGGAGGGAGGUAGGGGCGUGCGGAACUUCCGGUGGAGCGGUGAAAUGCGUAGAUAUCGGAAGGAACACCGGUGGCGAAAGCGGCGCGCUGGACCUCUUCUGACGCUGAGGCGCGAAAGCCAGGGGAGCAAACGGG
rnacentral:rRNA from 1 species